rnacentral:lncRNA from 1 species
GGCGCCGCGACCAGAACUGGGGGUGGCAAGUAGAGGAGGAGAGUCGGCGACGCCGCCAGAAGCUGUACGCCAGGCCGGGGCGGCGGGAGCCGCGGGAGCCAGAGAGCGGGCGCCAGGAGCGCGACAGGAGGUUCCCUGAGGAGCAGGAGCUAAGGCAGGAAAGGGAGGAGGAGCAGGCACGGGACAGGAGGUUCCGUGAGGAGCAGGAGCUGCGACAGGAAAGGGAGAGAGAGCAGGCACGGAACAGGAGGUUCCGUGAGGAGCAGGAGCUCCGUCAGGAAAGGGAGGAAGAGCAGGCACGGAACAGGAAAUUCCGUGAGGAGCAGGAGCUGCGACAGGAAAGGGAGGAAGAACAGCUGAGCCACCAGGAGCGCGACAGAAGAUUCCGAGAGCAGGAGCUCCGUCAGGAAAGGCAGGAAGAACAGGCACGGAACAGGAAAUUCCGUGAGGAAAAAGAGCUCCGACAGGAAAGGGAGAGAGAGCAGGCACGUGACAGGAGGUUCCGUGAGGAAAAAGAGCUCCGUCAGGAAAGGGAGAGAGAGCAGGCACGGGACAGGAGGUUCCGUGAGGAAAAAGAGCUCCGUCAGGAAAGGGAGAGAGAGCAGGCACGGGACAGGAGGUUCCGUGAGGAGCAGGAGCUGCGACAGGAAACGGAGGAGGAGCAGGCACGGGACAGGAGGUUCCGUGAGGAAAAAGAGCUCCGACAGGAAAGGGAGAGAGAGCAGGCACGGGACAGGAGGUUCCGUGAGGAACAGGAGCUGCGACAGGAAACGGAGGAAGAGCAGCUGAGCCACCAGGAGCGCGACAGAAGAUUCCGAGAGCAGGAGCUCCGUCAGGAAAGGCAGGAAGAACAGGCACGGAACAGAAAAUUCCUUGAGGAAAAAGAGCUCCGUCAGGAAAGGCAGGAAGAACAGGCACGGGACAGGAAAUUCCGUGAGGAACAGGAGCUCCGACAGGAAAGGGAGGAAGAGCAGGCACGUGACAGGAAAUUCCGUGAGGAACAGGAGCUCCGACAGGAAAGGGAGAGAGAGCAGGCACGGGACAGGAGGUUCCGUGAGGAACAGGAGCUGCGACAGGAAAGGGAGAGAGAGCAGGCACGUGACAGGAAAUUCCGCGAGGAACAGGAGCUGCGACAGGAAAGGGAGGAAGAGCAGCUGAGCCACCAGGAGAGCAACAGAAGAUUCCGAGAGCAGGAGCUCCGUCAGGAAAGGCAGGAAGAACAGGCACGGAACAGGAAAUUCCGUGAGGAACAGGAGCUCCGACAGGAAAGGGAGAGAGAGCAGGCACGGGACAGGAAAUUCCGCGAGGAACAGGAGCUGCGACAGGAAAGGGAGGAAGAGCAGGCACGGGACAGGAGGUUCCAUGAGGAACAGGAGCUCCGUCAGGAAAGGGAGGAAGAGCAAAAACGCAACAGGAAAUUCCGUGAGGAGCAAGAGCUCCGUCAGGAAAGGGAGAGAGAGCAGCUGCGCCGCCUGGAGCGCAACAGAAGAUUCCGAGAGGAGGAGCAGCUUCGUCAGGAAAGGGAGGAUGAGCAGCUGUGGCGCCAGGACGGCAACAGGAAAUUCCGUGAGGAAAAAGAGCUCCGUCAGGAAAAGCAGGAAGAGCAGGAUCGCGAAAGGAAGUUCCGUGAGGAGGAGCAGCUGCGCCACCAGGAGAAGCGGGACAGGAAAUUCCGUGAGGAGCAGGAGCUCCGUCAAGACAGGGAGGAGGAGCAGCUGCGCCGCCAGGAGCGCGACAGAAGAUUCCGUGAGGAGGAGCAGCUCCGUCAGGAAAAGCAGGAAGAGCAAUUCCGCCGCAAGGAACGCGACAUAAAAUUCCACAGGGAGCAGGAGCUGGACCGGGAAAGGGAGGAAGCGCAGCUGCGCCGCCAGAAACUUGACAGAAAAUUCAAGGAGGAGGAACAGCUCCGUCAGGAAAGAGAGGAAAAGCAGCUGCGCCGCAGGGAACGAGAGCAACAGCUUCGGCAGGAACGUGACCGAAGAUUCCGUGAGGAACAGCUCCGUCAGGAAAGGAAGGAGGAGCAGCUGCGCCAUCAGGAACGCGACAGAAGAUUCCGUGAGGAGCAGCUGCGUCAGGAAAGGGAGGAGGAGGAGCAGCUGCGCCGCCAGGAGCGGGACAGUAGAUUCCGUAAGGAGGAACAGCUCCGUCAGGAAAGGAAGGAAGAGCAGCUGAGCAGCCAGGAACGACAAGGUCGCUACCGGGCUGAGGGGCCCUUUGUCAGGGAGAAGAAUAGUCAGGAGCAAGCACUGAGGCGAGAAGAGCAGAGAAGUCUCCUAGAGCGGGAGAGGAAAUUCCAAGAAGAGCAACUCCAACGCCAAGAAGAGGAGCAAAGGCGCAGCCAAGUCCGAGACAGACAAUCCCGAGAAGAAAAAGGUGACCUGGAGACCGGCAAACGCCAGUUUGCCCAUGUUCCAGUGGUGCGCUCCAGCCCCCUCUAUGAGUACAUCCAAGAGCAGAGAUCUCAAUACCGCCCUUAAGAGCUGCUACCAACAUGCUAACACCGGCCAAAGCUUCAAGCAAAAGAAAAUGAGAAGCACUGAGUACCAAAUGAUAACUCAUGUGCUUCUGGUUGUGGGGAAACUCUGAUGUUAGAAUGUGUCUUUUCUUCCAAAAUCUUAAGCUACAUUUAAUUACUUUUUACUCCUUGCCUUUUAGUCAUCCUCUGAUAGGUCUUUACUACAAGAUGUCUUUGCUCUUUGGUGAAGAUUUGGUGUGCAUUUAAAAACAUAAAAAUCAUUUAACUUGUUUAUGGAGUUUUGUUUGAGGAACACGUUGAUGUAUUACCUUCAAAACUAACUAGAAUAAUACAACAAUUUGAGACUCAAGACAAGUCUAUUUUUAAUGGUUGACCAUAUUGUGAAGAUUUUACGUGUGUUUAAAAGUUAAAGAUGAUUUUUUUCCCUUGGAUCUAAAUUCCAUUAAUCUUUAUCUCCAAAAUGUUUUUGGUGUGUGUGUGUGUGUGUGUAUGUCAUGAUUAUCACAGAUUCCACUGAGUAAAUUUUUACAAUCCUUUAAUGAUGCAGGAGUGACUUCUGCAAGAAAAUUCUCUGUGAAAUUAGCCUAUAACUGAAAGAAAUAUUUGCUAAGAAUAAGAUUUAGCUUAAAGAUUUAGAAUUUUGGAUUUUUUUUAACAAUGAAUAGCACAUAAACACUUAAAGUCUCAUUAAGCAAAAGCAAGGUGUUUCUCAACCUCAGAGCUCAGAUUUUAAAAGUGUCUACUAUAGUUUGUAGUGCUCAGUUCUAGUCCUCCAAGUUUUGAUGGGUUUGAAAAUAUCACUUUUGUUAAUUUUAAUUUAGAGGGAACCUAAUCAGGAUCCUGUAAAUAUCUGUUUUGUUAUAGGGCCAAUAAGAAUGUGUAUUUGGAGAAAAGUGUGUGUGUGUGUGUGUGUGUGUGUGUGUGUGUGUGUGCGCACGCACAGAGGGGCAAGUUUCUAGAGGCCCUUGACAAGACUUAUCAGCCCAUAUUCCUUUAAAAACAUUACCUUGGAGAACUUCUUGCUGAAAUAAUUGGAUUGUAUGAAAACUUAAUAAAUGUUUGGCAAAUGAUUAUUUUUGUCCAUUUUAAUUAUGUGUCAAUCAUAACUCAAGGUCUAAUCAGGAAACUGACAUAACUUCCCAGUCAUGGGUAUUUUGUUUCUAUCAUCUAUGCCCAAAUAUGAAAAGGAGAGAAUCCUCUACUUUUCUCAUCCAUUUUUUCCAGUUAGAGUGAACCUUAUAUUAUUUCCAUCCUGCACUGAAGUUCUCUUUCCAAGUGUUUUUGUUCUUGGUUUCACCACUUUCUCUGCCCUUUCUUGCAGUGACUCACUGGUCAUAACAAAUACUGGUCCUCCCCACUCUGUCUGAGAAUGCAACAACCUUUUGGUCUCUACCGUCAGGCCAAUAGCCUAUUGUAGAAAAUGGCCAAAGUUUCAGAUCAGGAUUAUAGACAUAGCAGAUGACCUAGUGACUUAAGCAACAUAAUCCAUGAGAAACUGAAGCAGAAGAGCUAAAUAAUGAUCAUCUUAUUAUCCAAAAACCCCUGUGCUACCUGCUGGAGUCUAUAUUUAGUAUUCACCAUUUAGUAACUAAGAAUAAGUCCAAGAAGACCCUGAUCAGGAUAUAUCAUUUUUAAUUGUGAAUAUCAUGGAUAAGACAACGCCUUAUAAUUACAGUCACCCAACACUUUUGUCAACAGUAUAGAUGAGGAAACUAGGUCUAUAAUUUCUGAGUAUCAUUCUGAUACAGUAAGCACAUUCUGAAGCAGUAAGCACUUUCUAUAAGAAGUUUAGCCCUUCCUACACUUUAAUGCAAAUGGAAGGUACCCACCAAAGAUAGAACCAAGGAAUCCCUGAGACUAUCUUAGAAUUU